UGCGAUGAGAUGCCCAAUUCUAUGUAAGGUGCUUUCGAAGAGUCGAGUUGUUUGGGAAUGCAGCUCUAAGUGGGUGGUAAAUUCCAUCUAAAGCUAAAUAUUGGCGAGAGACCGAUAGCGAACAAGUACAGUGAUGGAAAGAUGAAAAGAACUUUGAAAAGAGAGUGAAAAAGUACGUGAAAUUGUUGAAAGGGAAGGGUUUGAGAUCAGACUCGAUAUUUUGUGAGCCUUGCCUUCGUGGCGGGGUGACCCGCAGCUUAUCGGGCCAGCAUCGGUUUGGGCGGUAGGAUAAUGGCGUAGGAAUGUGACUUUACUUCGGUGAAGUGUUAUAGCCUGCGUUGAUGCUGCCUGCCUAGACCGAGGACUGCGAUUUUAUCAAGGAUGCUGGCAUAAUGAUCCCAA
rnacentral:rRNA from 1 species